CUGAAGAUCAAAAUAGGAUGUGCAGAGAAGGGUAUUGACAUUUAAGGACGCUGUCAAGUCAAUGGAGUUCUCUUGUAGUGGUUGCUUCAGUGAACAUUCAACGCUGUCGGCCUUACCACCGAAGAUAGCAACCUUCCCAGCACACGAGGCCUCUCCCCCACCCUGCCAAGCUUUACA